rnacentral:tRNA from 1 species
UCCCUGGUGGCUCAGAGGUUUAAGCGUCUGCCUGCAAUGCGGGAGACCUGGGUUCGAUCCCUGGGUCGGGAA